rnacentral:lncRNA from 1 species
UAACAUCCAGAAGUAGCAUCAUGCAAAAAAUCACAUCAAUUGGCAUGGCAAAUAAAAUCAACAAGUCAAGCAAGCGAUGGUGUGACACACAUUGUCACACCCACAUUCAACAGAUCAUAUCUCAUCAACCAGAAAUGGCAAAAAUGCAAACUCUAUACCAAAAUGACCAUUAGGAUGUCUAUUUUAAGCAUGCAGAAUUUCACAAUCAUUGGAUUAAAAUCCAUCACUUCACAAAGCAAAUGGCAUGGAAGGUACAAAUUGGAUACACAUGAA